UACGUAGGGUGCGAGCGUUGUCCGGAAUUAUUGGGCGUAAGAGCUUGUAGGCGGUUUGUCGCGUCUGCUGUGAAAAUCCGAGGCUCAACCUCGGACUUGCAGUGGGUACGGGCAGACUAGAGUGUGGUAGGGGAGACUGGAAUUCCUGGUGUAGCGGUGAAAUGCGCAGAUAUCAGGAGGAACACCGAUGGCGAAGGCAGGUC
rnacentral:rRNA from 1 species